rnacentral:rRNA from 1 species
UGGGGACUAUUGCACAAUGGGGGAAACCCUGAUGCAGCGACGCCGCGUGAGUGAAGAAGUAAUUCGUUAUGUAAAGCUCUAUCAGCAGGGAAGAAAAUGACGGUACCUGAGUAAGAAGCCCCGGCUAACUACGUGCCAGCAGCCGCGGUAAUACGUAGGGGGCAAGCGUUAUCCGGAUUUACUGGGUGUAAAGGGAGCGUAGACGGCAGUGCAAGUCUGGAGUGAAAGGCGGGGGCUCAACCCCCGGACUGCUCUGGAAACUGUACGGCUGGAGUGCAGGAGAGGUAAGUGGAAUUCCUAGUGUAGCGGUGAAAUGCGUAGAUAUUAGGAGGAACACCAGUGGCGAAGGCGGCUUACUGGACUGUAACUGACGUUGAGGCUCGAAAGCGUGGGGAGCAAACAGG